GGUCCCUACGGGGGGCAGCAGUGGGGAAUAUUGGACAAUGGGGGAAACCCUGAUCCAGCGACGCCGCGUGAGUGAAGAAGUAUUUCGGUACGUAAAGCUCUAUCAGCAGGAAAGAAAAUGACGGUACCUGACUAAGAAGCCCCGGCUAACUACGUGCCAGCAGCCGCGGUAAUACGUAGGGGGCAAGCGUUAUCCGGAUUUACUGGGUGUAAAGGGAGCGUAGACGGCGAAGAAAGUCUGAAGUAAAAGCCCUCGGCUCAA
rnacentral:rRNA from 1 species